rnacentral:rRNA from 1 species
AUUGAACGCUGGCGGCAUGCCUUACACAUGCAAGUCGAACGGUAACAGGUCUUCGGAUGCUGACGAGUGGCGAACGGGUGAGUAAUACAUCGGAACGUGCCUAGUAGUGGGGGAUAACUACUCGAAAGAGUGGCUAAUACCGCAUGAGAUCUACGGAUGAAAGCAGGGGAUCGCAAGACCUUGUGCUACUAGAGCGGCCGAUGGCAGAUUAGGUAGUUGGUGGGAUAAAAGCUUACCAAGCCGACGAUCUGUAGCUGGUAUGAGAGGACGAUCAGCCACACUGGGACUGAGACACGGCCCAGACUCCGACGGGAGGCAGCAGUGGGGAAUUUUGGACAAUGGGCGCAAGCCUGAUCCAGCAAUGCCGCGUGCAGGAUGAAGGCCUUCGGGUUGUAAACUGCUUUUGUACGGAACGAAAAGCCCUGGGUUAAUACCCUGGGGUCAUGACGGUACCGUAAGAAUAAGCACCGGCUAACUACGUGCCAGCCGCCGCAGUAAGAC